rnacentral:rRNA from 1 species
GAUGAACGCUGGCGGCGUGCCUAAUACAUGCAAGUCGAGCGAACAGAUGAGGAGCUUGCUCCUCUGACGUUAGCGGCGGACGGGUGAGUAACACGUGGAUAACCUACCUAUAAGACUGGGAUAACUUCGGGAAACCGGAGCUAAUACCGGAUAAUAUAUUGAACCGCAUGGUUCAAUAGUGAAAGACGGUUUUGCUGUCACUUAUAGAUGGAUCCGCGCCGCAUUAGCUAGUUGGUAAGGUAACGGCUUACCAAGGCAACGAUGCGUAGCCGACCUGAGAGGGUGAUCGGCCACACUGGAACUGAGACACGGUCCAGACUCCUACGGGAGGCAGCAGUAGGGAAUCUUCCGCAAUGGGCGAAAGCCUGGCGGAGCAACGCCGCGUGAGUGAUGAAGGUCUUCGGAUCGUAAAACUCUGUUAUUAGGGAAGAACAAAUGUGUAAGUAACUAUGCACGUCUUGACGGUACCUAAUCAGAAAGCCACGGCUAACUACGU